rnacentral:rRNA from 1 species
GACGAACGCUGGCGGCGUGCUUAACACAUGCAAGUCGAACGGUGAAGGGGCCUGCUUUUGUGGGCCCUGGAUGAGUGGCGAACGGGUGAGUAACACGUGAGUAACCUGCCCCCUUCUUCUGGAUAACCGCAUGAAAGUGUGGCUAAUACGGGAUAUUCUGGGUCUGUCGCAUGAUGGGUCUGGGAAAGGUUGCGCCUUUGGGUGUUUUUGGUGGGGGAUGGGCUCGCGGCCUAUCAGCUUGUUGGUGGGGUGAUGGCCUAGCAAGGCGGUGACGGGUAGCCGGCCUGGGAGGGGGGACGGCCACACUGGGACUGAGGCACGGCCCAGACUCCUACGGGGGGCAGCAGUGGGGAAUAUUGCACAAUGGGCGCAAGCCUGAUGCAGCGACGCCGCGUGAGGGAGGGAGGCCUUCGGGUUGUAAACCUCUUUCGCCAGUGAAGCAGGCCUGCUCCUUGUGGGUGGGUUGACGGUAGCUGGAUAAGAAGCGCCGGCUAACUACGUG